AUGUUUGAAAGCCGUUUGAAGACCAUGAUAAAGAAGGCGGAGAAUUCGGGCGGCAAUAUAAUUCUCUUCAUCGACGAGAUGCACAUGCUGAUUGGCGCCGGUGAUAAAUGGGGAAGCAAUGAUGCUGCUAAUAUUGUGAAACCCGCGUUGGCCCGUAGUUGUAUCCGCUGUGUGGGCGCGACAACUUUUGAUGACUACCGCAAGUACAUUGAGAAGGAUGCAGCGCUCGAACGGCGGUUCCAGAAGGUGCAUAUUGAAGAACCGAGCACGCAGGCGACCAUUGCCACUCUGCGGGGCAUAAAGCAGCAGUAUGAACGGCACCAUAGCUUGGAAAUCCAAGAUGCCGCUAUUGUUGCUGCUGCAGAGCUCGCUGGCCGCUACAUCACUGGUCGUCAAUUUCCUUGUAAGGCUAUUGAUCUGAUUGAUGCGGCGUGUGCUACUGCAAAGAAAAUGAUGCAGAUUGACAGUCAAGAAAAGGAAGAGGACACUGUGAAGAAAGCAAUUGUUGCACCAAAUCAUGUCGCACAAGCUGUGCGCCGAUGCACCGGAAUUCCUGUCUCUACGCUUGAUCAAGAGGAGAAGGAUAGGUUAAUCCACCUAGCGGAUAGACUUCAUGAGCGAGUUGUUGGCCAGGAUGAAGCGGUAAAUUUGGUUGCAGAAGCAGUCUUACGUUCCAGGGCUAGCCGUGAUCAGCCUGGCCAACCCAUAGGCUCGUUCCUCUUCUUAGGAUUGACUGGUGUUGGAAAGACAGAUCUUGCAAAAGCUCUUGCCGAGCAGCUAUUCGACAGUGAGAAAAUGUUGGUUCGCAUUGACAUGUCUGAAUAUGUUGGGUUUGGAGCUGUGGCGCGCCUAAUUGGAGCUGCACCAAGCUGCAUUGCCUAUGAUGAUGGUGGACAACUGACUGAAAUAGUGAGGAGGCGCCCAUAUAGUGUCAUCCUUUUUGACGAGGUGGAGAAGGCAGAUCCCUUGGUGCUGAACGUUUUUAUUCAACUUCUUGAUGAUGGUGUUCUGACUGAUGGCAAAGGCCGGACCGUAGAUUUCAAGAAUACUAUCAUCAUUAUGACCUCAAAUCUAGGAGCAGAGCACCUAACAGCUGGAAUGGCUGGAGAAAGCACAAUGGAAGCUGCAAAGGAGCUUGUGAUUAAAAAGGUUCACAAACACUUUAAGCCUGAAUUUCUGAACAGACUGAGCGAGGUGGUGAUAUUUGAGCCACUUCUGCAUGACAAACUGAAGGAGAUUGUAAAAAUUCAGAUGAAAAGUGUCACUGCAAGGGUAGCUGCCAAGAGCAUCUCUCUGUCUGCAAGCGAUGCUGCGUUGGACGUCAUAUUGUUGGAAUCAUGCAACCUAAUGUAUGGCGCAAGGCCCAUAAGGAGGUGGGUGCAGAAGAAUGUGAUGACAGUGCUGUCCCGGAUGCUGCUCAAAGGUGAAGCCGUUGAAGGCUCAACUAUCGUCAUUGAUGCUACGGAUGACAAAACGGGGCUCAAGUACGAAGUGUUAAAUCCACAAGGCAAGAGUCCAGUGGUGGAACUUUCCUGUGACAAGACAAAGGUGACAUAA
rnacentral:rRNA from 1 species